GUGAGUGUAGCUCAGCUGGUUAGAGCGCCUGACUGUGGAUCAGGAGGUCGAGGGUUCAAAUCCCUUCACUCACC
rnacentral:tRNA from 1 species